rnacentral:rRNA from 1 species
GAGUUUGAUCCUGGCUCAGAACGAACGCUGGCGGCAGGCCUAACACAUGCAAGUCGAGCGCGCCCUUCGGGGUGAGCGGCGGACGGGUUAGUAACGCGUGGGAAUAUGCCCAAAGGUACGGAAUAGCCUCUGGAAACGGAGAGUAAUACCGUAUGUGCCCUUCGGGGGAAAGAUUUAUCGCCUUUGGAUUAGCCCGCGUUAGAUUAGGUAGUUGGUGGGGUAAUGGCCUACCAAGCCUACGAUCUAUAGCUGGUUUUAGAGGAUGAUCAGCAACACUGGGACUGAGACACGGCCCAGACUCCUACGGGAGGCAGCAGUGGGGAAUCUUGGACAAUGGGGGCAACCCUGAUCCAGCCAUGCCGCGUGAGUGAUGAAGGCCUUAGGGUCGUAAAGCUCUUUCGCCUGUGAAGAUAAUGACGGUAGCAGGUAAAGAAACCCCGGCUAACUCCGUGCCAGCAGCCGCGGUAAUACGGAGGGGGUUAGCGUUGUUCGGAAUUACUGGGCGUAAAGCGCACGUAGGCGGAUCGGAAAGUUGGGGGUGAAAUCCCGGGGCUCAACCCCGGAACUGCCUCCAAAACUAUCGGUCUAGAGUUCGAGAGAGGUGAGUGGAAUUCCGAGUGUAGAGGUGAAAUUCGUAGAUAUUCGGAGGAACACCAGUGGCGAAGGCGGCUCACCGGCUCGAUACUGACGCUGAGGUGCGAAAGUGUGGGGAGCAAACAGGAUUAGAUACCCUGGUAGUC